UACGGAGGGUGCGAGCGUUGUCCGGAAUCACUGGGCGUAAAGGGCGCGUAGGCGGCUUCUUAAGCGGGUGGUGAAAGCUCGGGGCUCAACCUCGAGUCGGCCAUGCGAACUGGGAAGCUCGAGCACUGUAGAGGCAGGCGGAAUUCCGGGUGUAGCGGUGGAAUGCGUAGAGAUCCGGAAGAACACCGGUGGCGAAGGCGGCCUGCUGGGCAGUAGCUGACGCUGAGGCGCGGCAGCGUGGGGAGCAAACAGG
rnacentral:rRNA from 1 species